ensembl:lncRNA
GUAACGAAGUACAAAUACUUCGUUACUGUAUUAAGUAGAAAUUUUGGGUAUCUAUACUUUACUGGAGUAUUUAUUUUUCAGACGACCUUUUACUUCUACUCCUUACAUUUUCACGACAAUAUCUGUACUUUCUACUCUUUACAUUUUAAAAACAGUCACGUUACUUCCGGCUUCUCCAGAUAAAUGGCGCUAUCCGGACAGAGUGAAUGUGAUUGUGUUUGGAUGAGAAGUAUAAACAUUUCAAUCCGGAGAGACUUGUUGAAAUUUGAACAAUGAUUUAUUAUAACAGGUAUAAUAUGAUAUUGAGAGUUGUUUGGGGCUUGGACUCCAUCCUGCCGCAGGACAGACCCGGGGCCGGGAUCUCGAGCCGAGACGAGGCAUAUCCCCCCCUUGGGAGUCCAGACACUGGUGGUGGUGGUGGUAGAGCCCAAGUUGCAUAACUCUCCAGCUAUGCCAGGUUCUGCUGUAGAUUGGAGGUGUCAGGGGUGCUGGCCGUGCGCCCCCAGGGAGAGAGGAGGCCACCAGGGAACGGCACAGCCUGUCCAGUCUUCCUGACUGAAUUUUCGCCUAAGCUUCAUUUAGCAUCCAGACACCCGAUUGGUUUUCUCCGCGAUGCGCCGGCAGAUCGGAGCGACACCGGGUGGGAAAAGUGGUCGGUGGAAAGUUGGUAUUUAUCGACAUGGAGCCUCGUCCUCUUCCUCCUCCUCUUCCUCAUGCAGAGUCCACGUAACGUUAGAUGAGUAUCUUCGUGACUGUGGGUUUGUCCUAAAUGUUUUAUUGAGUCUGGCACAACACAGCGACUUGCAAGCAGCGUAUUAAAUAAAGUGAUGUGUGUCCUAAUGCGGCUUUGCAAAUGAACACAAAGGGAUUCUGUAUUUGCUCAUGAAGCCCGAAAAUACUGGUUAACCAAUUGCUUUGUUGUAAGAGUGUUAUUAGUUGUACACUCUUUCACUAAACAGAUAAUGUGUUCAUUGCUGGAUUACAUGUUGCUCUCAUAGGCAAUUAUUUGGAUCAUGGUAAAAGUAUUUCCAUCUCAGGCCUGCAGUGCAAAGAGCACUAUGAUGUGUAAUGCUCACCGCAUUGUUUGAUCUAUGUUUAGUGAUGUUUUAUAGCCAUCAGUACGUGAUGUUAACUCUUCUGCAGGCAAAAAAGGCUGAAAAUGCCACCUAGCAAAUUCUGAUAACAUAUAUUGAGCUUUGCAUCCUGUCAUCCGCUCGUGACUGUACCUGAAGCCAAGAAGGAAGAAAAUAAAGAGCUGCAGCUGUAAUUAAACAAAGAGAAAAAGCCAGGCAAACAAUCGUGGACCGACUGAAUGCGAAAGGAUUUAAAAAAUAUGUACUUGCUAGGAAAGUUGUAGACUGUUUUAUUGGCUUUUAAUAUGAUUUUUCUACGUGUUGGUUUUAUAUCUGUGUUUAUGUGCUAAAUGUGCUGGCUUUACUGUUAAGUGUCUUUGAGUAGCCUACCAUGUAAAGCACUAUAUAAAUACAAUAUAGUAUUAUUAUUUAUCCUACUUUGCCUUAAAAGUGAGCAGAGGGAAUUCAUCUUCCUGUGUCUAAUUCUAAAUAUCUUUCUACAACUAAGGUUCAUACAGAAUAAACAAGACAGGAACAGGCUAAGAUAAAAUAUAAAAGCAUUUGGCCAGUUGAUGAGUGCUCAGUUUGCAAAUGGUGUAGAAAUAACUUAUAAUAACAUAUUUUAUCUAAACUGAUUUAAGCAGUUAAGAGGGCUCAUUUGUCUGGCGGGGGGCACGAGCACCAGGCUUCACCCCAGCUGAGGAAAAGACAGGCCUGUGAUGGAAGGGAUCCAGGGUGGGACAGCUACUGACUGUGUUCCACCUGCAGAACCUGCCCUCUUCAUACAUGCUACAUUCUCCAGUACAUUGUCAGGAUCUCCAAUCCCUCCGAGUUGGUUGGUUGAGAAGGAUCACAACACGUUGAUCAAUUAAAGUAAAAAAGUUAACAUUUAUUUAGAAGAGAAAAAGAUUACGUGAGCAACUCUCCGCAGAUAUCUGCCUCUAACUAUUGCUUGCAAGCAGGAGGUCGAACACACAAGCACGUAUUUCAGCGUUCGGUGUAAAUGGCGUUUCCGAGCAGUAAAAACGCUGACUUUUUAUACACAUGUGAAGACUAUCCUCAGUGCCAAGUACGAGAAGCAAAUAAGAUAUGAACCAAGGCCAUGAACAGAAGUCCCUUGUAUCGAAGCGUCUAUGAGAUCGAGAUCGAGGCCUUCUCAGGACACAGCUGCAAACUAACAUUUUGUAUCAUGCUGCUCUUUGCACGUCAGGGUCAAAUACGGACACUUGAGACCCAGGUUUAGCACAAGACAAUGUUUUAACAUAUUUUACAUAUUUUACCAUUACAUCCAUCUCGCUCAACAUCAAACACAAUCACCCAUUUACACGGAAUAUGUGGACUGUCUUGUGGAAAUCUUCUUUGAUGUGACACAUUCUUCUGGGGCCAGGGAAGGUAAUAAAGAUGUGUGCCAAGGACUUCAGUGCCAAACACACACUUCUGACAGUACAGCAAAUAGUGCCUUUAUUUACAGGUUCGGCAUAUAAAGACUUGCAAAAAAGCGCCGUGCCAUACGGAGCAUGUGUGGGAUGGUGAGAUGGCUUCACGCUGGUCUGAUCUGUCCAAAACAUCCUCUCGUGUCUGAAAGCACGUCUCAAUAUCAGUGCUUCUUCAUCCAAAACGUGGUUCAGAAAUGGGCUUCAUGGUGCAGGAAGAAACACAGGUGAAUGGGACUUUAUAUAUCGGCCUCAUCACGUUUACAAUUGUUCACUCCUCAGUGUCUUUAAAAGAAAAAACACAUUGUGAUUAGGCUAGAGUAAGAUGAAUUAGUGAUUUUUUAAAAAUAAAUAGACCGCUCUAAUAUAUAUCUAUAAAUAUCCUCUAUAUAAUAUAUAUAUA